rnacentral:lncRNA from 1 species
GGAAUAUUGGGUAGGUGAAUGGAUCAAUAAACAGUGGUCCAUCCAGAUCCUGGAACGUUAUUCAUUUCACAAAAGAAACAAGUUAUCAAGGCAGGAAAAGACAUGGAGGAAACCUAAAUGCGUACCACAAAGUGAGGGAAGUCAAAGUGAAGGGGCUACAGAGGCACCGUCCCAACUACAGGACAUUCCAGAACACCUGGAAACUAUGGAGACAGUGAAAACAUCAGUGGUGGCCAGGAGUUAGGGGAGAUGAAUGAAUGAGCGGAGCACGGAGGAUUAAGGGCAGUGACAUUAUUUUGUAUGAUACUAUGACAGAUAUG